GCGAGUCUUUGCAGUAAUGCAAGGCAGACGGCUCAGUAACACGUAGUCAACUUACCCUAUGGACGAGGAUAAUCUCGGGAAACUGAGCAUAAUACUCGAUAGAUCAUAAUGCCUGGAAUGGUUUAUGGUUAAAACGAUUCGUCACCAUAGGAUGGGACUGCGGCCUAUCAGCUUGUUGGUGAGGUAAUGGCCCACCAAGGCGAUUACAGGUACGGGCUCUGAGAGGAGAAGCCCGGAGAUGGGUACUGAGACAAGGACCCAGGCCCUAUGGGGCGCAGCAGGCGAGAAAACUUUGCAAUGUGCGAAAGCACGACAAGGUUAAUCCGAGUGAUUUCUGCUAAAGAAAUCUUUUGCAAGUCAUAAAACCACUAGUGAAUAAGGGGUGGGCAAGUUCUGGUGUCAGCCGCCGCGGUAGAACCAGCACCUCAAGUGGUCAGGAUGAUUAUUGGGCCUAAAGCAUCCGUAGCCGGCUUUGUAAGUUUUCGGUUAAAUCCAUGUGCUCAACGCAUGGGCUGCCGAAAAUACUGCAUGGCUAGGGAGUGGGAGAGGUAGACGGUACUCAGUAGGAAGGGGUAAAAUCCUUUGAUCUAUUGAUGACCACCUGUGGCGAAGGCGGUCUACCAGAACACGUUCGACGGUGAGGGAUGAAAGCUGGGGGAGCAAACCGGAUUAGAUACCCGGGUAGUCCCAGCUGUAAACGAUGCAGACUCGAUGAUGCAUUGGCAUAAUAGCCAGUGCAGUGUCGCAGGGAAGCCG
rnacentral:rRNA from 1 species